AUUGAACGCUGGCGGCAGGCCUAACACAUGCAAGUCGAGCGGAGCGGCGGACGGGUGAGUAAUGCCUAGGAAUCUGCCUGGUAGUGGGGGAUAACGUAGGGAAACUUACGCUAAUACCGCAUACGAUUGAAUGAGCCGAUGUCGGAUUAGCUAGUUGGCGGGGUAAAGGCCCACCAAGGCGACGAUCCGUAGCUGGUCUGAGAGGAUGAUCAGCCACACUGGAACUUAGACACGGUCCAGACUCCUACGUGAGGCAGCAGUGGGGAAUAUUGCACAAUGGGCGCAAGCCUGAUGCAGCCAUGCCGCGUGUAUGAAGAAGGCCUUCGGGUUGUAAAGUACUUUCAGCGGGGAGGCGUUACCCGCAGAAGAAGCACCGGCUAACUCCGUGCCAGCAGCCGCGGUAAUUC
rnacentral:rRNA from 1 species